GGUGAGCGGCGAUGGGACAUGCGGUGGCCAGCAAGUGGACGACCCUAGGUGCGGCGCACCUAGGGUUAGGGUUAUUAUUAUUUUUUGGUUGUUUUUUUUAUUUGGGCCAUUUGGGUAUUUGGGCUUGAGAUUUGGGUUUGGUUGUAAAUGGGUAGAGGGUUUUGCUUGUAUGGGUCGUGGGUUUGUUAUUGGGUCAGGUGGGUUUGGAAUUUGUUUUUGUAAUUGGGCCCCGGGUCAAAAAUUGGGCCCUACAAUAUAUAUGUUGCAUACAUGUAUAAUAUGUUGCACAUGAAUGGGAUUAUUAUGAUUGGAGGAAGUGUACUGUACUAGCAGCUCUGCUGCAAAUACUGUUUACUGUCGCAACUAGUGCUAAUUUUGGAGUGUAGGGAUGGAUGGGUGAUUUUAUCC
rnacentral:lncRNA from 1 species